GACGAACGCUGGCGGCAUGCCUAAUACAUGCAAGUCGAGCGAACAGAUGAAGUGCUUGCACUUCUGACGUUAGCGGCGAACGGGUGAGUAACACGUAAGGAAUCUACCUAUAAGCGGGGGAUAACAUUCGGAAACGGGUGCUAAUACCGCAUAAUAUCUUCUUCCGCAUGGAAGAAGAUUGAAAGACGGCUCUGCUGUCACUUAUAGAUGACCUUGCGGUGCAUUAGUUAGUUGGUGGGGUAACGGCCUACCAAGACGAUGAUGCAUAGCAGACAUGAGAGGGUGAGCAGCCACAUUGGGACUGAGACACGGCCCUAACUCCUACGGGAGGCAGCAGUAGGGAAUCUUCCGCAAUGGGCGAAAGCCUGACGGAGCAAUGCCGCGUGAGUGAAGAAGGCCUUCGGGUCGUAAAACUCUGUUAUAAGAGAAGAACAAAUUGUAGAGUAACUGCUACAGUCUUGACGGUAUCUUAUCAGAAAGCCACGGCUAACUACGUGCCAGCCGCCGCGGUAA
rnacentral:rRNA from 1 species